rnacentral:tmRNA from 1 species
GGGGAUGUUUUGGGAUUCGACAGGCGUAGAUCCGCAUUGACUGCGGUCCGUAGGUCACGUCUACGUAAAAACGUCACAGUUUUAUAACUGCAAACAAAGAAAAUUCUUACGCAGUAGCUGCUUAGUCAGCCUGUGUUGCCUUUAACCGGAUUACUUGCGUUUGGUUACUGGUAUCAACUUCAGCAAGUUACGUUUAACUACCUCACCUGAAUAGUUGAAAAGAGUUCUUCCAGGUUAGCUUAACCAGUUUAGCCCUGUUAUAUGGCGUUUGGGUUAAGUGAACUGAAAGUAAUAUAACUAUGAUCGUAGAGGUCAGUGACGGGAUGCGUUUGGACAGGGGUUCAAUUCCCCUCAUCUCCAC